UACGUAAUUACGUAAAUGCAACGCCAGGCGGAUAUGUGUCUUGCUAGUUUUUUCCGAAAUAUUUUUUUAAAUGAUUAUUUUUUUAAUUCAAACAAAUCUUUCGAAAGGAUUCCCUGAUAGCUUGACGUGAUUAUAUAUCGAUGACCAAUAAUACUGUAUCUACAUAUUGAAUAAUUUAAUAAUAAUGUAUGCUUUUAACUAUAGAACUUUCGCGUUCUUUAAAACAAGGUUUUGUAGUUAAAGAAUAUGAAUAGUUACGACAUGGGAGUAGUUUUCUCGGUUUGAUAUUUUGUAUAAUGUUUGAUAUACGUUAUGAAAUGUGAAAGGAAGGACCGGGACGGACCUGAAGUUAGCCAGCUAAACUAACCAGGCAUGAUCAAACAGUGUCAGUGACUGAAGACAUGUAGCUAGAUGCCUGACAGCGAGUAGGUAUGUUAUAGUCAGCUGUACUACAGGCUAACACGCCGAAAUCCUUCAGAUAGUAUUACGGUAAUUUGACUAGUUAGUCAACUAUAGUGGUCUCAAGUUGAAGGUCUCCACUCCACUUUUGGGUGCAGUUUGAGUAGACCGCCCCCCCCCGAAAACCGCAUCAAAGCUCAACUUCAGCAGAAUCAUCUCUCGAAUUGCGGUCAAAUUAAAUGAUGACAAAGAUGCUGAAUAUUCUACUUGACCUUGCAACACUAGUAGGCUGUGCUCUUGUUGUACAGGCUGUGCUCUUGUUGUACAGGCUGUGCUCUUGUUACUUGGGAUGGGGUAGGUGCAGACGGUGUGUCACUCAGAAUAAUUCCAGCUGCAGAUGGCUUUUCGUUCAUCCGUCUAGUCCGUGGGGACAGUGACUGUGCGGGGCGCGUGGAGCUGCUCCAGGGGAAUCAGUGGGGGACAGUGUGUGACGAAGGCUGGGACCUGACAGAUGCUGACGUGUUGUGCAAGGAGCUGGACUGUGGGCUGGCUGAUAAAGCCGUCCGUGGAGCUGCGUUUGGAAGGGGCACCGGAGAGAUCUGGCUGAAGCAUCGUCAACUGUUCGGGCCAAGAGACGAGCCUGACGCAAUGUCCCAGGGUCGUCAACGGGAACCCCACCUGCACCCAUGAUAAUGACGCUGGGGUGAAAUGUUCAGGUACACUGUCGAUGCCCACCCUGUCCCUUGCUCUCCCCUCACACCGUCUUAUCUCCCGGGGAGGUGGUUCGCUUCAGCUGUACUGUGCUACCGAGCCACCACCUGAAUGACUUCCACCUGUAUAAGAGAGGCACAGCCACCCCGUUGAGGACUCAGCAGGUGGCCUUUGCCCAGUCCAGGGUGGAGUUUACUCCGUCAAACCAGAAGACUCAACAGGGCAGCUAUAGCUGUCUGUACAGGAUCAAGGGUAUCCCUCCCUCCUCCUCCAUGCUUAGCUCUCCACCCAGCAACUCUAUCAACAUCACUGUGGGUGAAUCAUCUAGGGCCUGUUCAGUUAGAGGAAGAUGGAAGGGAUUUGCUCCAAUGGAAGAGGAAAAAGGGAUUUACUAUAGUAUGCUUUAAAGUUCAUUAGGGCACAAUGUAGAGAAAUGUUUUUGACACAUAAAAAGGGACAACUUUUAAAAUAUGUUUAUUGGACGAGUUCAGGACAGGUAGUACUGCCUCGUUUCACUCUGUUCUCCCUACUGAACUUAUCUUUUAUCAUUUUGGUUUUGUCAUGAGAUCCUGACAUCUUUUCCAGUAACAAAGAAGAAAACGACUGACUUUGUUUUUUUUGUCAUUUUGAUCUGUCCUGAAACUCAAUGACGGGUCAAAUUGAUCCACAACCC